GGACUACAAGGGUUUCUAAUCCUGUUUGCUCCCCACGCUUUCGCGCAUCAGCGUCAGUAACGGGCCAGUGUGUCGCCUUCGCCACUGGUGUUCUUCCGAAUAUCUACGAAUUUCACCUCUACACUCGGAGUUCCACACACCUCUCCCGUACUCAAGACAGCCAGUAUUGAAGGCAAUUCCGAGGUUGAGCCCCGGGCUUUCACCCCCAACUUAACUGUCCGCCUACGCGCCCUUUACGCCCAGUAAAUCCGAGCAACGCUAGCCCCCUUCGUAUUACCGCGGCGGCUGGCAC
rnacentral:rRNA from 1 species